AGGAUCCAAGCGUUAUCCGGAUUUAUUGGGUUUAAAGGGUGCGUAGGCGGCCUGUUAAGUCAGGGGUGAAAGACGGUAGCUCAACUAUCGCAGUGCCCUUGAUACUGAUGGGCUUGAAUGGACUAGAGGUAGGCGGAAUGAGACAAGUAGCGGUGAAAUGCAUAGAUAUGUCUCAGAACACCGAUUGCGAAGGCAGCUUACUAAGCUAUGAUUGACGCUGAGGCACGAAAGCGUGGGGAUCAAACAGG
rnacentral:rRNA from 1 species